UUUCAAAAUGUUUCAAGAUGGGCAUGGCAAUUGGAUUUGCUUACAGCUUUUGGGGUGUAUGUUUGUCCCUAUUCUUCAUCUACCCAUGGAGAAAUACCUACUUUCGGUUCCUCAGUAAUAUGUAUGAUCGAAUUUAUGUCUUCAUUGCUUUGAAGAAAAAAUGGCUUCGCAAACACUUGACAGGCCAUGAUAUAUGACGGGUGAAAGGAACAACUUUUACAAGGUUUAUAUUUCCAGAUGAGUAGGUAACAUAUUGAAGACCUUUGGAGCAUGCAUGCUUCACGAAUCUUUUCGCUGCGAUCUUUUAUUAAUGGUGUGAUUAUUGUAUUGUCAUGUUUUUGUUUUGUUUUUCUUUUUUUGGCCAGAAGAUUGUAUUGUCGUGCUAUGUAGACCUUGGGGUGAACCUUAAGAUAUAAUGUUUCACUAUUUAUUUUGUGAGAUUUGUUGCAGGAUAUUUAUAUAUCACUAUUUUUAGGAGAUUUGUGGUAUUAUUAUGUUGGUUAUGAUGU